GCAUCCUCAAAUGGCCAGACAUGACUGCAAACAACACAUGACAAGAGAGACAGGAAGUCAUCAGACCACACCUGUCGAAAUAAAUCCACCUGGGAAAAUGGCCGCCACUGUUUUAUUGUAUUUUUGACCUUGUUGGAACAGCUGUCAGUUGGUUUGGACUAUUUUAUUUUUUGUCACUUGACCCAUUUUAUUAUUAAUAGUCCCGCCAAACAAAUAUGGAGAAAAACAAUGAGACCCCAUUUCACAGAAAAAGGAACAAGAGAAUGAGGAGCAGAAGAUAUCACCAGAGUUUAGCAAGACGAUCAGAAGGUCAUCUGCCUCCAAAGAGCUGAGGAUUCACCUGCAGGGAUCCCUGACUCGUGCAGCACUGCAUCCUAGUGGCCGGCAGAACAGAGGCCCAGGGUUCCUGAGAGGAGAGACCGUCCCUCUGUCUAAUGUGUUCCGGACCUCCAAGCAUAGCGGCAUUGCUGUUUCUUAAGUGAGACCUUGGAAAGAAGGGGAGAAAAUGCCCAUCUCUCUGGGCCAUGCACUGCACCAGUUAAUGGAAGAAUUGUGUCCCAAUCCGGCUCCAUGCUGAUUUUCUCAGGAGGGAACGUGGCGUUCCAGUCCAUCGCCUGCACCGCUUGUCCAGGAAGUCUCGGUGAAGAGCGUUCUUCAGAAAAGAAUUUCACACACCAGCGGAGCCACUUCGCUCUGUAUUUGAUCUGUCUCCGCCUCGGCAGAAAGAUCUCAGGCCCGCGGUGGGCGAGCGAGGUCCGCCGGCGGGGAAAGCCCGGCCUCGUUCACCCCGUCUUUAUAAAACGGGAGGAUUGUGCCCGCUAGCCCUUGUCGCCGCUAAACAAGCCGUAGACGGCGAACUGUGGAAGAUUUAAGACGUGCUACCACUGGCCCCAGAGUCCCUGGGGGGGCCCGCCGACUAGGAGGAGAGAUGAUUUCAACGCUCUUUCCAAGGAGAAGACCCCUCGCGCUCUGAUCUCUGAAGCCACCAUCUCCUCUGAGCCACAUGGAGUGCCUCUUGUUGAUUAUUCCAUUGACGGGUGGUUUGGUGUAACCAUUGAGCUGGUAAUAUGAUAAUAUUCAGAAGGCUGGUUCUGCCCUGUCAGUUAACAGCUAAUGAACGGG
ensembl:lncRNA